rnacentral:rRNA from 1 species
GACGAACGCUGGCGGCGUGCUUAACACAUGCAAGUCGAACGGAAAGGCCCUGCUUUUGUGGUGUGCUCGAGUGGCGAACGGGUGAGUAACACGUGAGUAACCUGCCCUUGACUUUGGGAUAACUUCAGGAAACUGGGGCUAAUACCGGAUAGGAGCUCCUGCUGCAUGGUGGGGGUUGGAAAGUUUCGGCGGUUGGGGAUGGACUCGCGGCUUAUCAGCUUGUUGGUGGGGUAGUGGCUUACCAAGGCUUUGACGGGUAGCCGGCCUGAGAGGGUGACCGGCCAAAUUGGGACUGAGAUGAGGCCCAGACUACUACGGGACGCAAGGGUGGGGUGUGUUGCACAAUGGGAGGAAGCCUGAUGCAGCAGCGCAGCGUGCGGGAUAACGGCCUUCGGGUUGUGAACCGAUUUCGCCUGAGACGAAGCGUGAGUGACGGUAAUGGGUAAAGAAGCACCGGCUAACUACGUG